rnacentral:tRNA from 1 species
GGGGUUCUAGCUCAUCGGUAGAGCGCUCGCUUAGCAUUGUGCUGAGUAAAACUGCGAGAGGCACAGGAUUCGACUCCCUGGUACUCCA